rnacentral:rRNA from 1 species
GGAUGAACGCUGGCGGCGUGCCUAAUACAUGCAAGUCGAACGAAUCUCUUUUAGAGAUGAGUGGCGAACGGGUGAGUAAUACAUAGGUAACCUGCCCCUGUGCGGGGGAUAACAGGAGGAAACUCCUGCUAAUACCGCAUAGCCAUGAGCACCGCAUGGAGCUCAUGCCAAAUAUCCUUUCGGGGAUAGCGCAGGGAUGGACCUAUGGCGCAUUAGCUGGUUGGCGGGGCAACGGCCCACCAAGGCAACGAUGCGUAGCCGGCCUGAGAGGGCGGACGGCCACAUUGGGACUGAGACACGGCCCAGACUCCUACGGGAGGCAGCAGUAGGGAAUUUUCGGCAAUGGGGGAAACCCUGACCGAGCAACGCCGCGUGAGCGAAGAAGGCCUUCGGGUCGUAAAGCUCUGUUGUAAAGGAAGAACGGCGCAUACAGGAAAUGGUAUGCGAGUGACGGUACUUUACCAGAAAGCCACGGCUAACUACGUGCCAGCAGCCGCGGUAAUACGUAGGUGGCGAGCGUUAUCCGGAAUCAUUGGGCGUAAAGAGGGAGCAGGCGGCCGCAAGGGUCUGUGGUGAAAGACCGAAGCUAAACUUCGGUAAGCCAUGGAAACCGGGCGGCUAGAGUGCGGAAGAGGAUCGUGGAAUUCCAUGUGUAGCGGUGAAAUGCGUAGAUAUAUGGAGGAACACCAGUGGCGAAGGCGACGGUCUGGGCCGCAACUGACGCUCAUUCCCGAAAGCGUGGGGAGCAAAUAGGAUUAGAUACCCUAGUAGUCCACGCCGUAAACGAUGGUCACUAAGUGUCGGGGGUCAAACCCCGGUGCUGCAGUCAACGCAAUAAGUGACCCGCCUGAGUAGUACGUUCGCAAGAAUGAAACUCAAAGGAAUUGACG